AUUGAACGCUGGCGGCAGGCUUAACACAUGCAAGUCGAGCGGGGUGAUGGUGCUUGCACUAUCACUUAGCGGCGGACGGGUGAGUAAUGCUUAGGAAUCUGCCUAUUAGUGGGGACAACAUCUCGAAAGGGAUGCUAAUACCGCAUACGUCCUACGGGAGAAAGCAGGGGAUCACUUGUGACCUUGCGCUAAUAGAUGAGCCUAAGUCGGAUUAGCUAGUUGGUGGGGUAAAGGCCUACCAAGGCGACGAUCUGGAGCGGGUCUGAGAGGAUGAUCCCCCGGACUGGGACGGGGACACGGCCCAGACGCCUACGGGGGCAGCAGUGGGGAAUAUUGGACAAUGGGGGGAACCCUGAUCUAGCCAUGCCGCGUGUGUGAAGAAGGCCUUAUGGUUGUAAAGCACUUUAAGCGAGGAGGAGGCUCUUUUGGUUAAUACCCAAGAUGAGUGGACGUUACUCGCAGAAUAAGCACCGGCUAACUCUGUGCCAGCAGCCGCCGUAA
rnacentral:rRNA from 1 species